GACGAACGCUGGCGGCGUGCUUAACACAUGCAAGUCGAACGGAAAGGCCCUGCUUUUGUGGGGUGCUCGAGUGGCGAACGGGUGAGUAACACGUGAGUAACCUGCCCUUUGACUUUGGGAUAACUUCAGGAAACUGGGGCUAAUACCGGAUAGGAGCUCCUGCUGCAUGGUGGGGGUUGGAAAGUUUCGGCGGUUGGGGAUGGACUCGCGGCUUAUCAGCUUGUUGGUGGGGUAGUGGCUUACCAAGGCUUUGACGGGUAGCCGGCCUGAGAGGGUGACCGGCCACAUUGGGACUGAGAUACGGCCCAGACUCCUACGGGAGGCAGCAGUGGGGAAUAUUGCACAAUGGGCGGAAGCCUGAUGCAGCAACGCCGCGCGCGGGAUGACGGCCUUCGGGUUGUAAACCGCUUUCGCCUGUGACGAAGCGUGAGUGACGGUAAUGGGUAAAGAAGCACCGGCUAACUACGUG
rnacentral:rRNA from 1 species